rnacentral:piRNA from 1 species
UGAAAGGGUCAUUCAAGCUCAAGGUU